CUCUUUGCACUCGCAGACUUGAAGGCAUCUAUCGUCCCAGCUUUUAGAAUGGAGAAACUAGUGAGUUUCAUAUAUGAUCUGAAUGAAAUGUUUAGGACUUGCGGCAGUGGACUUUGCUACUGAUCAUUCGGUGGUGGUGACCCAUAUGAUGGCGAUUCGCUCCGGCCAUUCCAGUUUUGGCGGUGGUGGUGCUGCUGCUCCUAUGAUGGUAGACGCGUCUGAUUCCCCUAGCCGCAUCCAUGGUGAUGAAGCUCGGCCUAGGCUAGAACCCCCUCCGAUUUGCUUAAGAUCACGGAAGCUUGGGUUCAUGGAGUGCAU